GACGAACGCUGGCGGCGUGCCUAACACAUGCAAGUCGAACGGAGUAGAGAGCUUCGGUUUUCUACUUAGUGGCGAACGGGUGAGUAACGCGUGAGGAACCUACCUCUCAGUGGGGGACAACAGUUGGAAACGACUGCUAAUACCGCAUAAUGUAGCGAGAUCGCAUGGUCAUGCUACCAAAGAUUUAUUGCUGAGAGAUGGCCUCGCGUCUGAUUAGAUAGUUGGUGGGGUAACGGCCUACCAAGUCGACGAUCAGUAGCCGGUCUGAGAGGAUGAACGGCCACAUUGGGACUGAGAUACGGCCCAGACUCCUACGGGAGGCAGCAGUGGGGAAUAUUGGGCAAUGGGGGAAACCCUGACCCAGCAACGCCGCGUGAAGGAAGAAGGCCUUCGGGUUGUAAACUUCUUUUAGCAGGGACGAAGACGUGACGGUACCUGCAGAAAAAGCAACGGCUAACUACGUGCCAGCAGCCGCGGUAAUAC
rnacentral:rRNA from 1 species